GUAAUGGGAUUUUCACAGCUGAAGAAGGCAGAGCCCCUCUUCACCAGCCCCUGCUUCCUGCCUUCAGGAAAAGGCAUUUGUGAAUGAUUCUACAUGACAGCAACAUGUGCUUGACUUGAGGCAUAAAUAAAUUUACUAAGAAGCUUCGAAAUCCCUAUUCCAUCGACAAUAAUGAGCUACUAGACUUCCUCUCUAGGGUACCGUCUGAUGUUCAAAAGGUGCAGUAUGCAGAAUUGAAACUCUGCAGCAGCCACAGCCCCCUGCGGAAGAAGCGCAGCGCUCUCUAGGGCACACACCGACUUUGGACAGCAGCACCCAAUAUUGUGUUUGGUUGAGUAGACCAAUGUUAUGGCUGUUUCAGUGGUACCCAAGGUGUCCUUCUGAAAUGCAUGCCCUGUGGCACCCUCUGUAUACUUCCUCCUCCUUCACGUGCACAGACAUACACACAUGUGCACACACCCUCAUGCAUGGGUGUCCUAGUUGCGUAGAGGGUCAGCCCAGCGAAAAGCAACAACCCCAAGACUGUGAAAGACUAACAUCCAUUCUGAAAUAGGAGAUAACAAGGCUGCCAUGGAUCUGAACACCACCUUCCUUGAGAACAGCCAGGAGCCCACUUGGAUUCAAGAGUGACUUUGAACUUGUUUUCACACCUCCAACAGACUCUCAUUAAGAUUCAGUUAUUUCCGCUCCCCAGCCCCACACUCCUUUCAGAUUAUCGUUCAUGGGCGUAAGUCUCUUCUCAGAGUUAACAAGUCUUUGGUAGUCAUCCUCUGUCCAAAUAUUGUAUAUUAUUAAAAGGCAUUUUUAAUAAUUACCAGAAUUAGCUCAAACCUUUA
rnacentral:lncRNA from 1 species